UCUACAAUGUGAAUUUUGUUAAUUAUAACUUUAUACUUUAUGCAUAUUAGCAUUUUAAUAAUAAUGUAUGUCUUGUAUGCUCUGUCACAUGUACUUGGCUGCAUUUCUCAUAUUUGCUGCCUUACUUUGUUUGCUUGUUUGAUAAUGACUUUAAUAGCACCAGAGGUUGAGAUUGCUGGUGUUGAUGCCCCUGCCAUAUUCUCAUUUAGAAGUUUGUUGGUUAAGAUUGCUGGCAGUAUUGUUGCUGUGUCAUCGGGUGGAUCAAAGAAAUACGGGUUGACAUGGAGAUGGCUUAGAUUUUUUAAUAAUGAUCAAAAGCGGCGUGAUCUUGUAACUUGUGGAUCAGCUGCUGGAAUUGAUGCUGCUUUUCGUGCCCCAGUUGGUGUACUUUUUGCUUUUGAAGAAGUGGCAUCUUGAUAAUCUAUGGCAACUAAUCAGUGGAGAAGUACCCUUUUGUGGAUAGGUUUCUUUUCAACUGCCAUAGUUGAAAUUUUGCUCCGGGGUCUAACAGAUACAUGCUUGAGUGGAAAAUGUGGACUGUUUGGGACCGGAGGAAAGUGUUAAACAACAAAGAAGAAGCGUAAGCGAC